GCAGGAGAGAUCCUACAACCUAACAGGCUAGUUAAACAGAAGAGUGAUGUAUACACACACAGAAUAAAAAUCUCAGCCCCACCAGCCCCACCAACCCCACCAAGAGUAACCCCACCAGGAGAAGUUCCAUAGAAAUUCCCCACCCUUCACAUGCCUCACAAAAAUAGGUGAAAGUAAUGCAUUAUAGAAGUCAACUGUCAUGGAUAGAAGUCAAAAUGGGACUGAUCCUCCAACUUCCUAAAAAAACUAUGACCCCUACCUUAAGUGGCUUUUCAUGGGAAGUUGAUGAUGAUCUUGAUCAUUGCACCAAAAUUAGCCAGGGUCCACUCCUCUUUCUCUUUCCCUACUUGCCUAUAUACAAGAACGGAAAUGUAGGCCAAAAAGCACUGUAGUUGCACUGUGAUACAACCAGUGGACUUCGGUGUGCACAGCUGGAGACAUGCCAUCUGACGGUAGGUUGUUCUGGCCAAAAAAAUGAUGCAGCAGUGCAGGAAGAGGAAUGGCGAUCUUACUGUGCCAGGUCAGAAACAAGCAGUCUUUUCAAACAGAAGUCAUUAGCUCAGAAUAUAGGGGAUUCUGAUCAAAAAGAAUUUUUCUUUGAACAGACACCACAGCAUAACAGCUCUGAUUUAGGCCCUUUCAAAGAGGUACAGUCCUUAAUCCCAAGCCAAACCACGCUCUAGCCAGCAGCCACAAAAAAAAAAAAAAAGAAAAAGGAAAAAGAGAAAAUCCCAACAAGGGCAAGACAUGGUAGUGUACAGCAAGUUUUACUACCCUUACAGAGUGGGUAAUCUCCGGCUGCAGCUUGGCCUUGCCUUAUAUACUUAUGUUGUGGACCUGUUUGAGGACCCCUAUUCUCCUGCACCAUGCCCCCUAAUUUCCUGGCCUCUUCUCCCUCUUCCCCCCCAUCCCCCAGCAGCACUGGGGUGCUUGGCAUAAGAGUGAGUGUGGUCCUGGGGGUGGGGUGGAGGCACGUUCUCAUCUUCUGAUUGGUUCCAAUGUGAAGCUUUAUUUGCAUGGGGAAAAGGAUAUAAGGCAGUGCUCCAGAAAGCAUUCCUCUGGUACUUGCAUGUUUCUUCAUUGUUGCAUAACAGGCAUCAGGGUUCUGGCAAUGAUAAAUGGCCUAUUUUUAAUUAUCCAAUUCCAAGUCCCUCUCCUAUGUAAUAUUUUGUCAUUACUCAAAACAGGUUUUUCUUUGAUCUGGCACUAUGUCCACAAUUUGUGUAUAUAGUCCCUGUAAAAGAAAGGAUAUUUUGAUAUUUGGCAUAUGAACUCCUUGGGACCACAGUCACAAUGCAAAUGAUUCCAUUUUGUGGUUGAGUGAAAGGAGCUCAGCUGAGGGGGGUUUUGUUAGCUCACGGCUCCUAGCCAGAACGUGGCAUAGUGCAGCAGGCUCAGCUGUGCUGCAUAUAGGGACUCAGCUAGGCUGGGGUGAGGCCAAAGCAUCUUAUCUUCAGCAUCUGGACAGGCGUUUCCCCAACAAGUGACCCAGGCCCACACAGAGCAAUUCUGUCUGUUCAGUAUGGUGGCAUCAGCCGUGAGUAGCUGUCGAGCCCUUGAAAUGUGGCUGGUGCUACAAGUUUAAAUGGCAGUAUUUUUCAGGUGUUGAAUACCAUAAAAUAUAUUAUCAAUAUUAAUUUCAGCUGAGAUUCUUUUUCUUUCCUUUUGAUAUUUGGCUACUUGGAAAUUAGGAAUUACACUUGUGGCUUGCAUUCUCUUUCUGCCAGCACAGGUUAGUAGCAUGCCUUACUGGCGUCUGGGACCAGCUUCCUUAUUUUGUGCCCCCUGACCACCCCACCAAGUCCCUCCUGCUCCUUCCUCAUCACCCCAUCCUCGUGUUUUCAGAUGGAGCCCUGACCUGAAGACAAGUUUCCUGGGGUAGGCUAAAAAGGCUCUUCUCUGGCUGGACAAAGAGACAUGUUAAAACCCUGGUCAUCUCACCUUCCGGCCCCAGGGUGGAGAUCAGCCCACCUCUCCGAGAGACUGGGCUUUCAGGGGACCCCACAACUGAUAUAUGAUUCAUCACAGUUCCCCGAUGUUGGCACCGGAGCACCCAGGCAAGACAUGGUGCCUCAGGAAGGAGAAUGUACCUGGCCAGGGCCUGGUGGGUUUCCUGCUGGUUCCCAGGUUCCCAGGGUCCAGCAGCUGACCCCAAACCUCAAGGCCAGUGUGGCUCAGUGUAGACCCAGUCCCCUGAAAUAGCAUCUGGGGUACACUUUCCUAAAAAGCUGGAUUCUUACCGGAAGUGCCCGGGAAGAGUGUUACUCUUACUAUUGAACAUUCCUUGCUGACCUCAGAUGUAUGGACAGUAUGGACAGUCCUGAGGCUGUCAGGGUGUGCUGUCACCUGAAACACCUGGUAGGUUCCACAACAAAAUGUAACUCCCCAGGGUGGGGUCAGUGCUUUCCCAGAAGAUGGGAAACAGCUCUGAUUUAAACCACCAGCCAGCAACCUCCACAAUGCUCUGCAUUCUGAGGCAAAAUGCACACACCGUACAAUUCAGCCAUUUAACGUGUGCAAUGAAUGGCUUUUGUUUUUUGUUUGUUUGUUUGUUUUUUGGCACACUUGCGGAUUGUACGACAAUCACCACCAUCAAUUUUGGAACAUUUCUGAUCCCCCUGAAAUAAACCUUGUACCUGUUAGCAGUUGCCCGCUCUCAGCCCCCCUCCUCUUUCUCAUCUGUUUUCUGUCUCUGUGGAUUUGCCUAUUCAGAGCAUCUCAUGUCAACAGAACCACACAAUAUGAUGUCUUGUGUCUGGCUUCCUUCACUGAGCAUCAUGUUUCCAGGGCUCACACAUGUGGUAGCCUGUGUCAACGAUUCAUUACUUUUUGUGGCAGAAUAAGAUUCUGUUGCAUGGAUAGACCCCAUUUGAUUUGCCUGGCCCUUGGUUGGUGAACAUUUAGGUGAUUUCUCCUUUGGGACUAUUAGGAAGAAUGCUGCAGUGGACAUUGUAGUCCAAGUUUUUGUGUGGACUUAGGUUCUUAUCAGUUUUGGUCUGUGCCUUUGAGUAGAAUCAUGUCUCUUGGGUCAUGUGGCAGCUCUGCAUAACUUCUCUUUUUUUUUUUUCCCACAAUGUGCUUUUUAAAAUAAAAAGAGGAGUUCCUGCUGUGGCACCACUGAAUUGGUAGUGUCUCCACAGCCAUAGGACACAGGUUCCAUCCUGGGCCCUGCACAGUGGGUUGAAGGAUCUGGCAUUGCUGAAGCUGUGGUGUAGGUAAAGCUGCAUCUCAGAUCUAAUCCCUGGGCCAGGAGCUCCACAUGCCAUGGGUCAUCCAAAAAACAAAAGAAAAAA
rnacentral:lncRNA from 1 species